rnacentral:rRNA from 1 species
AGUGGGGAAUCUUAGACAAUGGGGGAAACCCUGAUCUAGCCAUGCCGCGUGAGCGAUGAAGGCCUUAGGGUUGUAAAGCUCUUUCAGUGGGGAAGAUAAUGACGGUACCCACAGAAGAAGCCCCGGCUAACUCCGUGCCAGCAGCCGCGGUAAUACGGAGGGGGCUAGCGUUGUUCGGAAUUACUGGGCGUAAAGCGCACGUAGGCGGACUGGAAAGUCAGGGGUGAAAUCCCGGGGCUCAACCCCGGAACUGCCUUUGAAACUCCCGGUCUUGAGGUCGAGAGAGGUGAGUGGAAUUCCGAGUGUAGAGGUGAAAUUCGUAGAUAUUCGGAGGAACACCAGUGGCGAAGGCGGCUCACUGGCUCGAUACUGACGCUGAGGUGCGAAAGCGUGGGGAGCAAA